rnacentral:sRNA from 1 species
AUGUCUUAUUCUGACAAAGAUGAAAAAUCGACUAUCUCUAAAAUGAAAAGUUCUAAAGCAAUUUCUGUUUUGAUGAGCCUGCCCAAUUUGAUAUGCCAGAUCAUCUUUGUUCUCUACUGCUGCUACAUACUGUACAGAUGUUACACAAGUAAAUGUUCGCUUGAUAAGCAUAUUCCAGGAGCAGUUAAACCCCACCAAGUUGACCAUGUUCGUUGGGUGUUUAGAAAAUCUAAAGAUAAACUUUAUCAAGCAUUACUCACUGAAUCUCAGACAUCUUUUAUUGCAAGAAUGUAGGUAUAACUAUCAAUCACAACUCUAUUAUCGCG